CAGAUCAACGCCGAGACCAAGGUUUGCUCCGAGCACUUUGAGAAGCAGUGCUUUGUAAAGACCGCCCGUGGUAUCACAAAGCUUAUAAAGGAUGCUGUGCCAACUUUGUUCGCCUGGACUUCAGAGAGGCCAAAGAGGAGAAUCAUCAUUCGCAGACCGAGUACGGAUUCCAUGGAGGUGGAUGAAAACCAGCCUGAUGAGAACCAACCUGAUGUGAGAAGGGAUGCCUUGAGCACAGAUGUACCUCCUCCACACCCGUACCAUGAUUAUGCUGUUCCACCGCUGACACCAGAGGAACAACUUGAGGCGGCUCGCAAGCACAUCAUUGAGCAAGACAAGUUAAUAGCACAACUUAAAGAUAAAGUGUUCAGUGUGUCAAGAUUCCAGUGUGAUGAUGGUCAGAUGUCAUUUUACACAGGAUUCCCAGACUAUGCCACCUUUAAAGCUGUAUAUAUGGCUCUACAGCCCACAGCCACAAGCAUGUUAGGAUGGAGUCAGGCUCAAAGGCUUAAACAAACAGAGGUACAGGUCAUUAGACAGGCAUUUAAUAUCUCCAAACUAGCAACUAUGGACCAGUUCUUUCUCUUUCUCUGUUGCCUCAGACAGGGGUUUGCUGAGCAGGACCUUGCGGUGCGCUUUGGUGUGUCACAGUCAACUGUGAGCAGAAUCUGUGUCACCUGGGCUAACUAUCUAUACUUCAUGUUAGGAUCUCUCCCCAUUUGGCCUUCAAAAGCCACAGUAGAUGAAUGUAUGCCUACUUGUUUUCGA